GCCUGGAUGACGAGAGCAUGGAGCCCGUCAUCGCCGUGGUGCUUCAGAUCCUGAGGCGGUGCCACCCUAAGAGUCCCCUACCCUUGGUCACAGCCAGCAGUGCCUAUGCCUUCCCAGUCCCCGGGAGCAUCACCUCUGAACCUCCACAUGAUCUACUUGAAGAGGAUUUUGAAGAUGAUGGUGAGGAGGAGGUGGACAAAGACUCUGAUUCUGAAGAUGGAAAAGUGGAAGAUGAUGACUUGGAAACAGAUGUGGACAAACUGAGUUCCAAACCUGGUCUGGACCGGCCUGAAGAGGAGCUGAUGCAGUAUGAGGCCGUGUGUCCUGAGCUCUCCUGCAGCUCUGAGGAACUGGAGUCCAAACCUGGAGAUGAUUUGAACCCUGAAAAGACUGAGUUUGCCAAUCACCACCACAUUCCGACUGCUGCCUUCUCAAAGCAGCAUCGCUUCAACAAGGACCAAAGUUCUUGUGGGCAAGAAAGACAAGAUGCUGUCCGGUCAUCCCUUCUGUGCAUGGUGAAGACGGGAAGAUCCACUGUGCAUCUGGGAUCCAAAGGAAAGCCCGUAGUGAGCCCGUACCAAAAUGUGCAAUCCAAUCACCUCGGGAGAGAUUCUUCUGCAAGUGAAAUCCCUGACAUUGAGGAUUCCCUGAAAGUGGAUGCCUGGGACGUAGAUACAAUUUUCUGCCAAGGGAUGGGUGCCUCCUUUUCCAAUUCCAGUAGGACUGGAGAAACUGUCCAAGUAAUAGAUAAGCUUCUGCAGACACACCCGAAGCGUGUCCCUUUCCACGAUCCCUAUCUUUAUAUGGCCAAAGCCAGAAGAACCACCUCUGUGGUGGACUUCAAGAUGAUGGCAUUUCCUGACCUCUGGGGACACUGUCCCCCUCCUGCCACCCAGCCCCUGUUGGAACGCAAAUGUGGAGUCCAAAGGUGAUGGUGCUACUGACUUGG
rnacentral:lncRNA from 1 species